rnacentral:rRNA from 1 species
GACGAACGCUGGCGGCGUGCUUAACACAUGCAAGUCGAACGGAAAGGCCCUGCUUUUGUGGGGUGCUCGAGUGGCGAACGGGUGAGUAACACGUGAGCAACCUGCCCUUGACUUUGGGAUAACUUCAGGAAACUGGGGCUAAUACCGGAUAGGAGCUCCUGCUGCAUGGUGGGGGUUGGAAAGUUUCGGCGGUUGGGGAUGGACUCGCGGCUUAUCAGCUGGUUGGUGGGGUAGUGGCUUACCAAGGCUUUGACGGGUAGCCGGCCUGAGAGGGUGACCGGCGACAUUGGGACUGAGAUACGGCCCAGACUCCUACGGGAGGCAGCAGUGGGGAAUAUUGCACAAUGGGCGGAAGCCUGAUGCAGCAACGCCGCGUGCGGGAUGACGGCCUUCGGGUUGUAAACCGCUUUCGCCUGUGACGAAGCGUGAGUGACGGUAAUGGGUAAAGAAGCACCGGCUAACUACGUG